UCCUAACUCACCCAGAGCCAGGUAUCAGG
rnacentral:piRNA from 1 species